UACGAAGGGGGCUAGCGCUGUUCGGAAUCACUGGGCGUAAAGCGCACGUAGGCGGAUGUGUCAGUCAGGGGUGAAAUCCCGGGGCUCAACCUCGGAACUGCCUCUGAUACAGCACAUCUUGAGUCCGGAAGAGGUGGGUGGAAUUCCUAGUGUAGAGGUGAAAUUCGUAGAUAUUAGGAAGAACACCGGUGGCGAAGGCGGCCCACUGGUCCGGUACUGACGCUGAGGUGCGAAAGCGUGGGGAGCAAACAGG
rnacentral:rRNA from 1 species